UACGAGUACCCCAAGCGUUAUCCGGAAUUAUUGGGCGUAAAGGGUGUGUAGGCGGUCAUGUUAGUCGUUUGUUAAAGCUCCCGGCCUAACCGGGAAAUUGCGGGCGAAACGGCAUGACUUGAGAGCGUGAGAGGUUUGCGGAACUCAUGGUGUAGGGGUGAAAUCCGUUGAUAUCAUGGGGAACACCGAAAGCGAAGGCAGCAAACUGGCGCGUUUCUGACGCUGAAACACGAAAGCGUAGGUAGCGAAUGGG
rnacentral:rRNA from 1 species